rnacentral:misc_RNA from 1 species
GGAUUGAAAAUAUCCAAGAAACUUCUACUGAACUAGGGACAGUUUGGAGACAAGAUCCCAAGCAUUACAGCAAAGUGCACAAAGUUCAAGACAAGCAUUUUUGGCAAAAAAAUCUACCAGUGCCAUGUUGAACUCACACUAAUGCACUUAGGGAAUUCUAAUUUUAAAACUCAGUUGACUUCAGCAUUCAUUCAAAUUAAUUUAUAAUCCAUGCUGCACCCAUAAGAAGUAAAGUUCGGAGUAGCAAGAUUCUAAGAAAGCUAACCUCUUUCUUGUUCUGUUUCAG